rnacentral:rRNA from 1 species
GACGAACGCUGGCGGCGUGCUUAACACAUGCAAGUCGAACGGUGAUCCCCUGGUCUUCGGGUUGGGGGUGAUGAGUGGCGAACGGGUGAGUAACACGUGAGUAACCUGCCCCCUUCUUCUGGAUAACCUCAUGAAAGUGGGGCUAAUACGGGAUAUUCUGGUCUGUCUGCAUGGGUGGGCUGGGAAAGGGUUUUUCUGGUGGGGGAUGGGCUCGCGGCCUAUCAGCUUGUUGGUGGGGUGAUGGCCUACCAAGGCUUUGACGGGUAGCCGGCCUGAGAGGGUGGACGGCCACACUGGGACUGAGACACGGCCCAGACUCCUACGGGAGGCAGCAGUGGGGAAUAUUGCACAAUGGGCGCAAGCCUGAUGCAGCGACGCCGCGUGAGGGAUGACGGCCUUCGGGUUGUAAACCUCUUUCGCCAGUGAGGCAGCCGCCUUCUUCUUGGGGGUGGUGACGGUAGCUGGAUAAGAAGCGCCGGCUAACUACGUGCCAGCAGCCGCGGUGAUACGUAGGGCGCGAGCGUUGUCCGGAAUUAUUGGGCGUAAAGGGCUCGUAGGCGGCUGGUCGCGUCUGUCGUGAAAACCCUCGGCUUAACCGGGGGCUUGCGGUGGGUACGGGCCGGCUUGAGUGCGGCAGGGGAGACUGGAAUUCCUGGUGUAGCGGUGGAAUGCGCAGAUAUCAGGAGGAACACCGGUGGCGAAGGCGGGUCUCUGGGCCGUUACUGACGCUGAGGAGCGAAAGCGUGGGGAGCGAACAGG